CAGCGAUACCGCGAGGUGGAGCGAAUCUCACAAAGUACGUCGUAGUCCGGAUUGGAGUCUGCAACUCGACUCCAUGAAGUCGGAAUCGCUAGUAAUCGCAAAUCAGAAUGUUGCGGUGAAUACGUUCCCGGGCCUUGUACACACCGCCCGUCACACCAUGGGAGUGGGCUGCAAAAGAAGCAGGUAGUUUAACCUUCGGGAGGACGCUUGCCACUUUGUGGUUCAUGACUGGGGUGAAGUCGUAACAAGGUAGCGCUAGGGGAACCUGGCGCUGGAUCACCUCCUUACACGA
rnacentral:rRNA from 1 species